CUGGCGGCAUGCCUUACACAUGCAAGUCGAACGGCAGCAUGGAAGAGCUUGCUCUUCUGAUGGCGAGUGGCGAACGGGUGAGUAAAGCAUCGGAACGUACCGUGUAGUGGGGGAUAACGUAGCGAAAGUUACGCUAAUACCGCAUACGCACUGAGGUGGAAAGCAGGGGAUCGCAAGACCUUGCGCUAUACGAGCGGCCGAUGUCAGAUUAGCUAGUUGGUAGGGUAAAGGCCUACCAAGGCGACGAUCUGUAGCGGGUCUGAGAGGAUGAUCCGCCACACUGGGACUGAGACACGGCCCAGACUCCUACGGGAGGCAGCAGUGGGGAAUUUUGGACAAUGGGCGAAAGCCUGAUCCAGCCAUGCCGCGUGAGUGAAGAAGGCCUUCGGGUUGUAAAGCUCUUUCGGCUGGGAAGAAAUCGCACAGGCUAAUACUCUGUGUGGAUGACGGUACCAGCACAGGAAGCACCGGCUAACUACGUG
rnacentral:rRNA from 1 species